ACACACCAAGUAUGCAUACUAUGUUUGUCUAUGAUCUUUACUUUGUGAACUAGAUCAAUUGAACAUAACUUCAAUGAUUCUCUUUUCACACUCCCAAAUCCUUACUGCAAAUGCAAGAAUUCCAAAUUCAUGCCAUUUACUGAAAUCUGUUAGAUUCUAAACUUAUAUGCAUUGAUCCUCUUGUAAUGAUUAUGCACAAAGUCAGAAAGACUUGACAACAAUCAUUACAGAGUAUUCCAAAGGAGAUCAGCUCCUUGGAAACAUCCUUCUUGCAUUAAGUUUCCUAAUCUUAAACAGAUUGAAAAUUCUAACUUUGAAACAUUUCCAGAUUCCAUUUUGACUAUCACUUCUGAACAAGAGUUGCCUCCUUACAGAUUAUGUCAAUAUGGUCCUUCCAGAAUUAUCACUAUACUUCCAACUGUCCUUGAGCAACCAAUCUUUGGUAAACCUUAGAUUGUCCUCGACAAUUGUUUAAUCCUUUUAGUCAUAUCCAGUUCUAAACCUUUUCCCUUCUUAAUGCCCCAGGCAUUUGGAAAAUUUUAGAACGGAUGAAUAUAGCACAUGUAAUCGAUCCUAUAUCCGAAGCAUAUGGGACACGAUUCAUGAUGUCUCACAUAAAGACUAAACCAGUCUUUUGCUAUAAUAUUUCCAUUUCAAUUUGCCAAGUUCUCAUAAUUCAGAUUAUGAAAAGGGAUGCCGUAAUCAUAAUCGAAUUUUAGAACGCAAAUAAUGGACCCAUAUACAGAAUUUCCUUAUGUUGAGCCAUUCCAACAUGAAAUUCAUAUAUAUCCUUGACUAAAUGAUUAAAACCUCACGAUCUAAGCUUAUAGAUUUGAGAUGAAGCAUAAUUUCCUCUCCCUUAAUUAUAGCAAAACAACUUUUUCCCAAUUGAAACUUUUGUUUUCUAUAAUUAACAUUGCUAACUUGCAAUACUUAUCAUAAUUAUCAUGCUCCCACUAACAUGAUGAUUAUUAGUAUAGCACUUAUGCUCCCACUAGCUUUGACAUGUACUCAGAAAUCAGCUAGACUUCUAGAAAUCAAUACUUUAUUGACUUUCUUACCAAAGUUCAGAUUUCUGAUACUAGAUUGCUUUGAGAAAACUUUAUCAUAAUCAUACACCUUAUCUUAGAUAGCUCACAGGUGUGUCUAAACAAUUUUUAAGAACUAUGAAAUGGGAUGCCGUAAUCAUAGUCUCAAAUGUUUAGACAUUUGCCACUUCUCACAAGUCCAUGUUAGUGUGGCGGUAAACCACACACGCUCCACUAACGACUUUGAGAAUUCAAAUAUCACAAUUUCUAUCUAGCUAAAAUCUACUUAGUGAAAGUGUUUCCUCACCAUCAUUUUCAUGAAUCGGAGAGAAACCUUAUGACACUUAGAUUUAAUGGUGUAAGUUUUCCUAUCCAUGUGAAUUUGUCAAAAACCAUAAUCACAAGACUAUGUUAGUGACAAAUCCUAACUCAUAUGGAUUGAACUUGUGCAAUCUUGACUUCUUGCCACCUGGCAACUCAAGGACCUGCCAUUGCUUCCAAGUUGUUGUGCAACCAAGUGAGAACUCUAAGAACUCAUAUGCAAAGCCAACUUUAAUUGGAAUGGGCACAGAAUAUGUCAACACGAUAGGUUAUAAAUCUCAAGUUGUGUGCUAGUGAAGAACUUAGGUUUUAUUCUUGAAUAGUUCUUGAGACUUUCAAGACUUUUAAGACUCCCACUGUCCUCUUGACAUAUAAGACUUUCUUGUCAGAUAUUCAAGAGAUAGUGUGGAUUCUAAUCAAGACAAACACUUCACACCAUUGGCCUUAGUUGGUCUUUGUUUUAUCCAAAACAUCACAACUUACCAAUUUCGAAUGUACAAGAGUAGAAAACUUUACUCUUACAUUUGUCAUGUGUUUUAAACCUUCUCUAAGACAUGUCACUCAAAUUACAUUCUUGGAGUAUGACUCUAAGACUUGUAUUGGAACGAAGUAUGACUCAUCUUCUUGAUUUAACCAUUUCAACAAUUCAAGAUCCCUCUUCUUAGUCAUAAGAAUGCACUAAGAUUUCCUUAGAGAACUAAUUGUGCUAUGGUUUCUUAAUCAUUAAGAUGAUCACAAAACUGAUACUAAAGUACUCUCCCAUCUUUUCAGAUUUGAGAAACUUUUAUCUUUCUGCCUAAGUUGAAUUUUUCUUAUUCGCUCUGCCUUACAUUGGAACCUUUUCCAAUGUCUCAGAAUUACACUUAAGCUUGUAAGUAUAACCAUAUUUACUGAGCUUUAGUAAAUUAUGAUGAAUAAUCUUAUCGAUCUUUUGUGGUGGACUUGACCAGUGCACAAGAAUGUGUACUCGAUCCCUUAGUCCUUUACUUGACUCACACAUCCAUGUGAACAAGUAAUUAGUCUUAAUUUUCCAAUACUUGAAAGUUCUCAUUCAUCAUGCUAUACAACUUGCAUGAUUCCAAGUUCCGGUCCAAUUGAAACUUGGGUGAUGAGAAUCUUUCCUUAUUUGGUAAAUUUAGACAUUACCACAAAUGAAAGAAUCAAUUUCAUAUUUCCACUCCUGCUAUUAAUGGAAUCAUAUAAGCAACAAUUUUUCCUCAAAUGCCAUUGUAAUUAUAUUUUAAAAUAAAUAAAAUCAUCAUAUUUCCUUUUAUUUUAAAAACUUUGCGGAAAAACUAUCCUUACAAUCCAUAUGAAAACUUGUUGUUAUCUAUUCCUAAGCAAUAUCUCAUAACUCCUAAGAAGUAGCUCAAGAAUCCAAUCUUCAAACUAUGCGAUUAGAUUCAGCAUAUUCUUUCUUUAAGUUUCUUUACUUUUCUUUGAUUCUUAAAACAUCACCAUGUGACCCAGUCACAUCAUGUAUCAAGAAUCUCAGAGUAGAAACUUAGCGAAGUUAGAUAGUGGAAUUUUUACCUGAAAUAAAGUCAGACUUAUUGACUUUACCAUCCUUAGGUAAAAUUGGCAGCUUCGCAACUAAUGCCCCUUCCUUUGGCAAUAUAACAUAUGGACGCUUUGGUAAUGGAACAUGGGACUAUCACAGACUUAGCCUUUCUCUUUACCAUUUAGUCAACCUAGUUGACUAUGGUCAAUCCCUUUCCUUCAGAAGAGAAUGCUUUUUCUGGAUUUCCAGUGUUACCAUUGUCAAUGUCCAUAAGGUUUUAGGAAGUUGAUCUUAGCAAAUAGAAAAGAUCAUUAAAGGUCUUGUCAUAGUCUAUUUCAUAGGAUUCCCAAAAGAACUCACUAUGUGACUUAGAAGGUGAUUGAACCACCAACUUUCUCAAGACUUUGACACCCAACUCUCCCGGCUUGUCAAUAUGUGACUACAUCUCCAAGAUGUGAUCACACAUAGACCUUUGCUUGCCAAUAGGGAUUGAGUGGCCUUAAACUUUUCAGGAACUUGUGGGUUAGGGAGAACAAUGGGAGGAGGUGAAAGAAGUAUGAUAUUCAUGGGACAUUAUCUUCAUUUAGGAAAACUUGUUUCAAGAGAUUCGGGAAGAUCAUAGAUGUCUAAACUAGACAUCUUUUUGGCAGAUACUCAAGAUAGUUGAUUUUAAGUCCUUAAUAUGACACCCAAUAUGAAAUAUUAAGGCUAGGACCCAACAAACUGUUUUAUAACUUAGAAGAGGGAUGCCGUAAUCCAAGCUAUAAAAUAUUUGAAGGUAGGUGAAUGACGAUUCACCAAUUUCCACCAAGAUAAACGAAAUGUAUUAUUAGGUUUUAAUUGGUUUUGAAACUCCUAGAUCUUUGAGAUUCAUUGAACUGUUCAAUGGCAUGUUUCAAUCUCGAGUGUGCCCUUCAGGUUUUGUGACUGGGAUGCCGAGGAUCACAAAACAAGGUGUGAAGUAACCAUGCAAAUUACUUGGUACCCUUAAUUAAUUACCCCUCAAUCGAUGUGCCGGUUAACCACACACGCUCCAUCGAUACUAUGAUAAAUAUUAAGUCACCCUUUACCUACCUUGUUAAGUCCAAGUUAGUGUGNCGCUCCAGUAACCGACUUAAACAAAGUGCAAAGUGUAAUUUCAUGGAUUAGCACCUUAUUAACAUUUUCCUAAGUAACUAAGAUUGGGUAUUAUUAAGAUUUUAGUUACUUAGUAUUUAUCAUUAAUACUUUUAAUGAAGGGAGAAUUACUGUCCUGUCAAACCCGUUCGGCUAACGACCAUCCACCGGUCAAGAAAGCGGUGGGUGAGAGUGGACACCCAUUAAACUGCCAUUUUAUAGGCAGUAACCUUAUACCCCCCCUUAUAGACGGCUUCGUGAAUGAGGCGUACUAGCGGUAAGACUGACUUUACUCUUAUACAUAUAUAUAUUAUUAACUUAUAAUAUUAUAAAGUAUAAGGGUUGAAUUUUAACUUUUAAAAUUCUAAGGGCUAACUUGGAAUUAAAGUAUUCAUAAGUGAAAACUUUACAAAUUCCAAAACUUGAGGGCAAGUUUUGAAACUAUUCAAAACUAAUUAAUUCCAUAACUUAUGUGUUUAAAGUAGUUUUAAUCCAAAAACUCUUCAAGUUCCAUAACUUGAGGACAAGUUAUGGAAGACUUUAAACUAAUAAAAGAAUUAACUUUUCUUUAUUUUAUAACUUAUGGAAUUAAUUAAGGUUACACNNNNNNNNNNNNNNNNNNNNNNNNNNNNNNNNNNNNNNNNNNNNNNNNNNNNNNNNNNNNNNNNNNNNNNNNNNNNNNNNNNNNNNNNNNNNNNNNNNNNNNNNNNNNNNNNNNNNNNNNNNNNNNNNNNNNNNNNNNNNNNNNNNNNNNNNNNNNNNNNNNNNNNNNNNNNNNNNNNNNNNNNNNNNNNNNNNNNNNNNNNNNNNNNNNNNNNNNNNNNNNNNNNNNNNNNNNNNNNNNNNNNNNNNNNNNNNNNNNNNNNNNNNNNNNNNNNNNNNNNNNNNNNNNNNNNNNNNNNNNNNNNNNNNNNNNNNNNNNNNNNNNNNNNNNNNNNNNNNNNNNNNNNNNNNNNNNNNNNNNNNNNNNNNNNNNNNNNNNNNNNNNNNNNNNNNNNNNNNNNNNNNNNNNNNNNNNNNNNNNNNNNNNNNNNNNNNNNNNNNNNNNNNNNNNNNNNNNNNNNNNNNNNNNNNNNNNNNNNNNNNNNNNNNNNNNNNNNNNNNNNNNNNNNNNNNNNNNNNNNNNNNNNNNNNNNNNNNNNNNNNNNNNNNNNNNNNNNNNNNNNNNNNNNNNNNNNNNNNNNNNNNNNNNNNNNNNNNNNNNNNNNNNNNNNNNNNNNNNNNNNNNNNNNNNNNNNNNNNNNNNNNNNNNNNNNNNNNNNNNNNNNNNNNNNNNNNNNNNNNNNNNNNNNNNNNNNNNNNNNNNNNNNNNNNNNNNNNNNNNNNNNNNNNNNNNNNNNNNNNNNNNNNNNNNNNNNNNNNNNNNNNNNNNNNNNNNNNNNNNNNNNNNNNNNNNNNNNNNNNNNNNNNNNNNNNNNNNNNNNNNNNNNNNNNNNNNNNNNNNNNNNNNNNNNNNNNNNNNNNNNNNNNNNNNNNNNNNNNNNNNNNNNNNNNNNNNNNNNNNNNNNNNNNNNNNNNNNNNNNNNNNNNNNNNNNNNNNNNNNNNNNNNNNNNNNNNNNNNNNNNNNNNNNNNNNNNNNNNNNNNNNNNNNNNNNNNNNNNNNNNNNNNNNNNNNNNNNNNNNNNNNNNNNNNNNNNNNNNNNNNNNNNNNNNNNNNNNNNNNNNNNNNNNNNNNNNNNNNNNNNNNNNNNNNNNNNNNNNNNNNNNNNNNNNNNNNNNNNNNNNNNNNNNNNNNNNNNNNNNNNNNNNNNNNNNNNNNNNNNNNNNNNNNNNNNNNNNNNNNNNNNNNNNNNNNNNNNNNNNNNNNNNNNNNNNNNNNNNNNNNNNNNNNNNNNNNNNNNNNNNNNNNNNNNNNNNNNNNNNNNNNNUUAGUGUAACCACACUAGUGCCAAUUUCACCAACCAAUGACAUCUUUAUAUAGUAUGGAGACUAGGGUUAAACCCAUGACCUUUCAUUUCAUAUGAUCCAUGGGUUAAACACUCCAUGGACUAUCCAUGAAAGCUUAGCCCAACCUAAAUGAACUUGGCCCAUUCCAUAUAUAUAAGAGUCCAUAUUUAAUUAGUUCAUUUUGAUCACUUAAUUAAUUCUAAAUUAAUUCUUGAUCAGUACUAAUUAAAUAAUAUGAUUCCAUAUUAAUAUAUUAGAACUUAUAAUAUAUUAAUAUACUAUUCUCAAAAGAUUAUCCAUAUAAAUUGUGUCGGUGAAGUGCAACCCAAAUGGACCAUGCCAGGUCGGGUCAAGUGCAUACCAAAUAUAGUUAUGGACUUAGACAUUAAUCCAACACCUGAACGGUCCGAUAUACCUUGGGCCCAACUUGCCCCGCUUCCUGAAUCGGAUGACACCCUUCCAUGGCGACACCUUCAGGAGAACCAUAUCCCUGACCUGGAAUUCAAGGUCUGGUCAACGCUUAUCAGCGUAACUUUUCUGCCGACUCUGAGCGGUCUGAAGCCUACUCCGCACCUGUUGAAUCCUCUCGGUCGUCUUGAGCACCACUUCGGUGCUCCCCAUGACCCUCUGGCCAACUUCGCCCCAACAUAUAGGGGCCCUGCACCUUCUCCCGUACAACAUCUCAAAGGGAGCACGGUCAAUACUCGCGUGAUAGUUGUUGUUGUAUGAGAACUCAGCUAAAGGAAGAUAUGUAUCCUAACUACCACCGAAGUCUAGCACGCAUGCCCGCAACAUAUCCUCAAGAUUUUGGAUGGUCCGCUCACUUUGACCAUCUGUCUGCGGGUGAAAGGCGGUGCUAAAGUGCAGACGAGUGCCCAACUCGUCAUGAAACUUAUUCCAAAACCUGGAAGUGAAACGCACAUCCCUAUCUAAAAUCACUGAUACCAGCACCCCGUGCCGUGCCACUAUCUCCCUGAUAUAGAUGUCAGCCAACUUUUUAGCCGAUAUGCUCUCCUGAAUCAGAAUAAAAUGGGCGCUCUUGGUCAAUCGAUCCACGAUGACCCAUAUCGAAUCCACUCCUCGCGCGGUCCUGGGAAGCUUCGUGAUAAAAUCCAUCAUAACAUCUUCCCAUUUCCACAACAGAAUAUCCAACGGCUGCACCUUGUCGUGCGGUCUCUGAUGCUCGGCCUUGACCUUCCUGCAGGUCAAACACCGCUCUACAUACCAAGCCACAUCCCAUUUCAUGCAGGGCCACCAAUAGUCUAAACGAAGAUCCCUAUACAUCUUCGUUGCCCCAGGAUGAAUAGAGAAUCAGGAUUUGUGCGCCUCCUCCAUCAAGAACUGGCAUACGCCUCCGUGAUAUGGCACCCACACCCUACGGUGUAGUGUCAAUAAUCCUCGGCUGUCAUAAUCGAAGGAGGAAACCUGACCCACUAUGUGCUCACUCUUCAGGUGUUCCUCUUUCAUGGCCUCCUGUUGGGCUUCCCGAAUCCACUCCAAUAGCGGAGUCACCACUGUUAUCCGCAAGCAAAUAUCCCUGAUCGGCGCCGCCUUGCGGCUAAGCGCAUUGGCCACCACAUUGGCCUUCCCCGAGUGAUAAAGGAUCUCACAAUCAUAAUCCUUUACCACGUCAAGCCACCGACGCUGCCUCAUGUUCAGACUCGGCUGCUCCAUGAGAUACCUCAGGCUCUUGUGGUCUGUGUAAAUGGUACACCGAACCCUAUAGAGGUAAUGCCGCCUAAUCUUGAGGUCGAAGACCACCACCCCCAACUCUAAAUCGUGUGUCAAGUAAUUCGCCUCGUGAGGCUUCAGCUGCCUCGAGGCAUAAGCAAUGACAUGCCCUCUCUGCAUCAAUACCGCGCCCAAACCUGAAAUGGACGCGUCACAGUAUACCACAAAAUCCUCUACACCCUCUGGCAGGGCUAGGAUUGGCGCCUCGCACAGUCUCUGCCUCAGAACCUCAAAUGAUGCCAGCUGCUCAGGCCCCCAUCGAAAGACCCCGGCUUUCUUGGUCAAUCAUGUCAGGGGUACGGCUAUCUUGGAGAAGUCCUGAAUGAAUCUCCGAUAGUAGCCCGCUAAUCCCAGGAAACUCCGAAUCUCGGAUGGAGACUUCGGAACCUCCCACCUCAUCACGGCUUCCACCUUGGUCGGAUCCACCGAAAUCCUGUCCUAGUUGACAAGGUGUCCGAGAAACUGCACCUCGCGCAACCAGAACACACAGUUGGAGAACUUAGCGUAUAAGCUCUCCCUCCUCAUGGUCUCCAACACCUCUCGCAGAUGCCCCUCAUGCUCCUCCUGCGUCUUGGAAUAAACCAAGAUGUCAUCAAUGAAAACUAUCAUAGAUCGGUCCAGCAUCGGUCUGCACACGCGGUUCAUGAGGUCCAUGAACGCGGCAGGGGCAUUGGUGAGCCCAAAUGGCAUCACCACGAACUCAUAAUGGCCAUAGCGCGUCCGAAAUGCGGUCUUCUGCAUAUCCUCCUCUCUGACCCUCAUCUGAUGAUAACCCGAACACAAAUUGAUCUUGGAGAACCAAGAUGCUCCCUGUAACUGGUCAAUGAGAUCAUCAAUACUCGAGAGUGGGUAACAGUUCUUCACCGUUACCUUGUUCAGGUCCAGAUAAUCUAUGCACAUCCGAUGCGACCUGUCCUUCUUCUUCACAAACAGAAUUGGGGCUCCCCAGGGUGAACUGCUCGGUCUAAUGAAUCCCUUGUCUAAUAGCUCCUGCAGUUGUGUAGACAACUCCUGCAUCUCGGGAGGAGCCAAUCAAUAUGGUGCCUUGGCUAUCGGAGCCACACCAGGGACUAGGUCGAUCCUGAACUCUACCCGUCAUUCCGGAGGUAUUCCAGGAAGAUCCUCUGGGAACACAUCAGCAUAGUCUCGUACCACCGGAACCUUUCUCACCGUCGCCUUACCCGACUCCCGGGUAUCCAUAACAUACGCGACAUAUCCCGCACAACCCUGCUGAAGGUAGCGCCUAGCUCUCGCUGCUGAACAUACUGUGGGUCCACGAUGUGGCCUCUCGCCGUGAAUCACCAACUCUCCCCCACUCGGGGUCCUGAUCCGCACCAGCUGCUGUGCGCAAUCUAUCACCGCCCCAUUAGGGCUCAACGAAUCCAUGCUUAUAUUCACCUUGUUCCCACGCAACGGAAUGGGAACCAAAUCCACCAAGUAGCGCUCCUCAAAUAACCUUAGGACACAAUCUCUGAACACUGAUGAUGCUCACACCGAUCGAUCGUCGGCAAUCUCUACCUCCAAAGGGCAAUCCAACAUGCCCGAAGACUCAGUAAACCUCUUGCUAAGCGCAAGGGAAACAAACGAUCGGGUGGCACCCGAGUCAAACAACACCUGAACUGGGAUACCGUUCACAUGGAACGAGCCUAACGCAUAUACACAGAGGACAUAUCAAUAUCAAAACAUCAUAAAAUAAAAUUGAGGGAAAGAAUCAUACCCGUCACCACAUCGGGUGCGGCGCGUGCCUCCUCGGUAGUCAACUGAAAUGCCUGGCUCCUCACCACUGGAGCUUCCGCCUUACCCUGCCGGCCAUCAGUGAUCUGCAGGGUCGCUGGAGCUAGUGCCUUCACUGGCAUUGAUGCUGCUGUCAACUGGGGGCAGUUGGCCUUCUUGUGGCCCCUAUGGUUGUAGUGGAAACAUAGCAACUCAGACGUCUGAAUAACCAAGGCAGGGGCAGUACAAUCCCUGCUAAAGUGCCCCACAUUGCCGCACUUAUAGCAGCUUGAAGAUCCCAAUCUGCAUGCCCCCUCAUGUGGCCUGCCGCAUUUCCUGCAACGGCCCGGUCCCGACUGGCCUUUCGGCCUACCAUCUGAUCCCUUGGGCUUCUUCUCCGAAGCCCCUCCAGUAACCUACCCCUCCUCUGCCUUCCUCUUCCGGAUGUGUUCCAGAUCUAUCUCCCUCUCCCUUGCCCUGGCAAUCAUAGAGUCCAGGGUAGGGCAAGCUGAAAAACUGACAUGCUCCCGAAUAUCAGCUCGUAGCAUGUCAUGAUAGCGGGCCCUCCUCAUAUCCUCAUCACCCGCGUAUUGGGGCACCGACAACGCCCUUUCCCGGAACUUGGCAGUGAUUUCCGCCACAGUCUCUGUCAUCUGCCUCAUAUCUAGGAACUCCCUGGCCAGCUGCUGAAACUCAACAGCCGGCGCAAACUCUGCCAAGAAACUGGUCACAAAGUCCGACCAAUUCAUAGCCUCGACCAGGUCAUCGCCUGGCAGCUAUGGGAUCCUUUGCCCCGUGAAAAUCUGGCGCCCCACUGCCCCUGAAGUCCUUAAAGGACAGUGUGCAAGAUCCCGACUGGCCAGAUGCCAUGUCGCUCCUGAAUGCCCGGAGAUGAUCCUCCAUCAGCUCGACUAUCCCUUCCUUGAUCGACCCGAAAAUGAUGGGAGUCGACUCAAGGAUGCCUCUGGUGAUCUCUGACGAAAUGAACUCGUGUAGCCUCUCAUCUACUAGCUCGGAGCCUGAUCCCGAACCCGAUCCCUCUCCAGAACUGCCACCUGCUGGCCUCUGACGUAGUACCACCAUUCUGCAAUAAACACAGGCAACCAUUAGUGAGACUGAUAACUCUAAGGGAUCACAUCUACUAUAAGUUUCCCGGUCUUGUCUUAGCCUUCCCUAAGUCGGGUACGGAUCCUCUGCUUCCAGUAGUACGGGCCCAUACUACCUUUCACAUCUAUCCGUACCUUCCUCAAGGACUGCCUCGACUCCACCAGAUCCCUUUUUACCACUACUGACCUCUGUUACUCUUAUCCUAGGCUUACCCUAGGAAACCUCUGACUCCACCCAAACCGGUCCUCAGCUGUUGAAGGUCUCUUUGUAAUGCCAAUUAGCCAUUACUUAUAUACAAUCACAUGCAACGAGGCUCGGAUAAUCCUUUAAGUAAGGGACUCAUCCCCACAACAGUUAAGACUCAAACAAGAGCUAUGCCAUAGGGUCAAAUCCAACACUCUGAGAUUAUUCAACCCUGAUCACAUGUGACUUUAACGUAUUCACCUAACAGCUAACUCCCAUCACUCAAGGCCCACAAAGCACAAAGAAAAUAGCAUUCGGACAAAAGGAAACAAUCUCAAGCAACUCUAUCCUCAGAACUACACUAGCUUACAAUGUUAAGCUCAUACUAUCAGGCAUCACCUAAACAGGCUAUCCUACUGCUGUCUACUCAAAUCUAGCAUGCAACUCUCAUAAGCUGAAGCAUAUAAAGCAGGCACAUAAGGCAUCACUCCUAGAUCCUUAGUUCCAUUCUAGCACGUUGUGCUACUGAAUCUGAUAAACGUAAUAUAACAUUGUAUGGGUACUUUGGGGAAUACUUACUUGAGCUCAGCCGGUCGCGCACAUCACACACUUCGUUCUUCUUCAAAACUCUUAACUUAACUUGUAGAAAAUAUUUUCCCUUUUUUUUAAAUCUUUUAGUCCCUCGAUUUGAGUUCAGACACCGCCGAGGGUGUGUCCGAAUCCCUCAAACCAGGGCUCUGAUACCAACUUGUAACGACCCAAAUUUCACGCCCAAAAAUUUCAUUUAAAUUAAGUUGUUUGUAAAACAUUUGUAGUAAAACAUCAUCCGAUCAUAUUGCUUCAUAAAACAUAUCUCGUGUGUGAAAACCCAAAACAUGAAAAUAAUAACAAUUUCAGAGUACAAUCCCAGAACAUCUCAUAACGCAACCAAGGUGUGUGUGUAUGAUGUGCCGCUACCGCGCCAGCUCCUUCCCCUUCGUUGAAGAGGUACCUGAAACCAAAACUGAAAACUGUAAGCACGAAGCUUAGUGAGUUCCCCCAUCGUACCACAUACCAUACAAGCAUAUCACAUACAUACUGCCAGGCAUUUCUGGGAUGUCCGACCUACCCAAUACGGCCAUUCUGGGGUGCCGACCUACCCGUACGGCCAUUCUGGGGUGCCAACCUACCCGUGUCAAGCCAUUCUGGGGCGCUGACCUACCCGUGUCGAGCCAUUCUGGGGUGCUGACUACCCAUCGGUCUUAACAACCGAACCUCGGGGACUGGUCCCCUCCUACUAUCUUUAUCGCAUAUAACAUACAAGCCAGCAUACAAACAUAUCAUCACAUAUUGUCAAACGUAUCUAGGGUGUCUGACUACCCUUCGGUCCUAACAACCGAACUCUACACAUACGACAUAUCAUGCUAGCAUAUAACAUAUCAGGUAGUAACAAACCUAGAUGACAUCACAGAGACAAUCAUCUAUCAUAUGUAUCCUACUGGUGGGCCGGCAUUAUGGCCUUAGACCCACCGCUACUGGAAGGUAACUCACCUCGAAGUAGCUGUUGAUCCGUGCGGAAACUGUCUGGCUGCUGUUGUUGUUGCUCCGGAAAUCCUCCGGCUAUAAUUCCCACAAAACACACAGUCAAAGUCUGAUAUCUACUCUUUGGGUAAAAUGACCAUAUUACCCCUGAUCAAGUCAGGUCAAAGUCAAAGUCAACUUCCAGUUGACCCGACUCGCCGAGUUGGCUCGCCAACCCGUCGAGUCCCUAUCCAGUCGAUUGACCUCACUCUCGUCCCUACUCGUCGAGUUAGCCAUAGACUCGACGAGUUCCCUUUCUAAAAUGAUGUCCAAUUGUCCUUCAUCUGACUCGUCGAGCUGUAUGAACAACUCGUCGAGUUCAUCUUCCUCCGAUGAACACUUUGGUCCGUGACUCGCCGAGUUGUAUGAACAACUCGUCGAGUCUGUUCUUGAGGCAAGCAGAUUGCCUAGGACUCGCCAAGUCAGGGCAUUGACUCGCCAAGUCCCUCCAUCACUGAGUCUGGCUUCCGAUUCACUGAGUCCACUCAUAGCUCACUGAUCCCACUUGGCAUAACUCAAAAGGGGAAAAAUCGGGGACUCACGACUCGACUCGCCAAGUCGCAUGCAUGCAAUUAUUAUAUACUCGAUUCUGCUUGAAUCCAGUGCAUUCCAUUCAUGGAUCUGGGUUCUUAGGGCUUGAUUAACUCGUAAAGUUUCCAACUUUACGUGUAAAUAAACACCAAUGAAGGUUUUAGGGCUCAAAAUGCACUAAAAGAGUAGAUCUAGGGCUUUCAUUCAAUAUAGCUCCAUAAAGGCAGUAGAUCCGGGCUCCUAGAACCCAAUCAUGUCUAGAUCUGAAGUCCCUUAACACUAUAAGCUCAUUAUCCAAAGAUCAAGACUAGAAGAGGCCUUAAAAUGACUAUCAUAAGCUCUUAAAGUGAUAAAAAUGAAGGAACAGAGAGGGUUUCGAGUCUAAUACCUCUAGAAGCUCUGAAAUGGCACAAAGAUUCUGGAUCUUCUUCCUCUCCUCUUGAUCUACCUUCUUCUUCUCCCCAAAACUUCAAGGAAAUGCACCAAAAGCACUCAAAUUACCAAAAGAGGGGUUAAUGCUUCGAAAGUGAGUGUUCUGGACGCAAUGGGGCCACUAUGAGGCACCAAAACGACGCUUAAAUAGGGUGCAACCCUUUGAAAUUAGGGUUUCUUCCAGACAAGCGGACUCGCCGAGUCCAGGAUAUGGACUCGUCAAGUCGCCAACUUAAACGUGUUCGAUAUCCCGACCCUACUCGGCGAGUCAGGCCUACAACUUGCCGAGUUCCAAAUAAAAGUGCAAAAAUACUUAGUUUAAAUUACAUACCAGGAACCAGGUGCUACACUAAGGCCACUCGUCGAGUUUUCCUUCUUGCUAAUCGACAAGUUCACGCGCAUUCAUCAAUUCUGAAACCUUAACUGACUCGCCGAGUUGUUCAUCCAACUUGUCGAGUCUACGUCAAUCUUCAUCGGACUCGCCGACUUAUUCAUCCAACUCGUCGAGUUCAAUGCAUAUCUUGAUAUCACUAGCCGAGUCGACUAUGUAACUCGCUAGGUCCCUUCAGUCAUUUCACCAUGCAGACACUUUUUAAGCCAUGGCAAGGCCCCAAAUUGCAAAUCCAACUUCCUUAGGCAUGCUUAUCACGUAAAGUUGCAAACUUUACGUGCAUGCAAGGCUCUAAUGACUAAAAGUGCCAAAACUAAGCUUGAAAUGGGGUUUUACACUUAGGGAGGGGUUCAUACUUUCCAAGUCUGAAAGCUUUAUGGUCUUACAAUUCACAGAGAGUUCAGAUCUGAAGUUACAACUUCAUAUCUGAGCUUAUACCCCAAAAAUAGCUCCAUGACCAAACCAAGAAACCCUAAACUCCAUCCAAGGAGGUCUAGAAUGAAAUGGGAUUAAGAUAACAUCUUAAUACCUUCCCAAAAGAUGCCAAAUGAAGUAGAUCUUGAUUUCCCCCGAGUUCCUUGCUUCAAUCCACUUGUUUCCCCAAGCUCUUCUCACCAAGAAUCCUCUUCCAAAUCUUCAAACACACAAUGGGCACACACACGUAUUAGGGUUUUGCUAAGCUUUUAAGGGACUGUAAGGAGGCUGAAAGAGGCUUGUGCUUCUUUAAAUAGGGUGCAAAACCCCAGGAUUUAGGGUUUCAUAUGCCAGCUCCUACUCAUCGAGUUCCCUUAUGGACUCGGCGAGUAGGCCACUUAACACGCGAUCCCACCCCGCUGCUACUCGACGAGUAGGACAACCAACUCGUCGAGUAGAUCUUAAAACCAAGUAAACUUUCAUUCAAUUCAAUACCUAUGAAUUGGGGCGUUACAAUUCUCCCCCACUUGAGCUAGACUUUUCCCUCGAAAUCCGUUGGAGUAAACAAUGUCGGGUAAUACCCGCGCAUCUCCGCCUCCGAUUCCCAUGUCCACUCGGAUCCCCUCCGAUGUUCCCACUGCACCUUUACCAAAGGUAUUUCUUUGUUCCAUAAAAUCUUCUUCUUCUUCUCCAAGAUGGCUACAGGCCUCUCCACAUAAUUCAGGCGCUCAUCGACCUGAAUAUCAUCCAGCGAUACUAACGCCUCCUGGUCCAUAAUGCACUUUCGUAAUUGCGAAACAUGGAACGUGCUGUGAAACUGGAACCCCAUGGCGAGAGAUAAUCUCGCUGAAGUACAUGUCGGCCAAUUUCUCAGCCGACGAACUCUCCCUUAUGGCCAAGAAAUGGGCACUCUUGGCCAACCGAUCCACGAUGACCUAUAUAAUAUCGAACCCCUUCGCCAUCCUCGGCAACUUCGCAAUGAAAUCCAUCGUGAUUUGCUCCCAUUUCCACAUGGGAAUCUCCAUAGGCUGCAGCUUACCAUGCGACCUCCGAUGCUCGGCCUUGACCAUCCUACAGGUCAGGCACCUCUCAACAUACCAAGCGAUUUCUUGCUUCAUAUCGGGCCACCAGUAACUCAAACUCAGAUUGCGGUACAUCUUGGUGGCCCCCGGGUGGAUAGAAAAAUGAGACUUAUGGGUCUCCUCCAUCACUGUCUAUCGGACCCUGCCGGACAUCGAAACCCAAACCCGACCGUGUCGAGUCAAUAAUCUGCGGCUAUCCUGAACAAACCGGGCGCUCUCGCCCUUAAUCCUCUCCAACUUCCAGCUCUCUGGUUUCAUGCCCUCAACCUGAGCAUCCCUAAUCAAGCUCACAAGUGGGGAGCCCACCGCUAUCCUCAUACACCUUGCUGUGGUAGAAGACCCAGCUGACUUGCGGCUCAAAUCGUCUGCAACCACAUUUGCUUUACCAGGAUGGUAAAGGAUCUCACAAUCAUAGUCUUUGACAACAUCCAUCCACCUGCACUGCCUCAUGUUCAGGUUCGGCUGAUCCAUGAUGUGCCUCAAACUCUUGUGAUCCAUGUAUAUAGUGCAACGAACCCCGUACAGAUAAUACCUCCAAAUCUUGAGAGCGAAUACCACCGCUCCCAACUCAAGAUUGUGCGUAGUUUAUCUCGUCUCAUCUGGCUUCAGUUGCCGCGAUGCAUAGGCUAUCAUUCGUCCCCUCUGCAUGAGGACUGCCCCCCCCCAAGCCCGUGAUGGAUGCAUCACAAAAUACUAUGAAAUCCUCUACUCCCUUGAGGAGCGUCAACACUGGCGCCUCACAUAAACACUGCCGGAGGGUCUCAAAUGCCCUCUGCUACUCAGGGCCCCACCGGAAAUCCACCCCUUUCCUUGUUAGACGAGUGAGGGGUACCACGAUCUUGGAGAAAUAUCGAAUGAAUCUCUGGUAGUACCCUGCUAAUCCCAAGAAACUCUUGAUGUCUGAGGGAGAUUUCGGAAUCUCCCACUGCAUAACCGCCAUGACUUUGGCCGGGUCGACCAAAAUCCCCUCCUGGUUAACGAGAUGUCCGAGGAACUGGACCUCUAGUAACCAAAACUCACACAUCAAGAACUUGGCAUACAGCCGUUCGCACCGCAGAACCUCCAGCAGCUCCCUGAGGUGCUCCUCGUGCUGCUCUCGGGUCUUGGAAUAUACCAAAAUAUCAUCUAUGAACACAAUGAUCGAGCGAUCGAACAUCGGCCUACAGACUUGGUUCAUCAAAUCCAUGAACAUUGUUGGCGCGUUGAUGAGUCCAAACGGCAUCACCACGAACUCAUAAUGACCAUAACGAGUCCGAAACGUUUUCUUCUCCACAUCUUCCUCCCUCACCUUAACCUGGUGAUAACCGGAUCUCAAAUCGAUCUUAGAGAACCAAGAUGCACCCUGCAGCUGAUCGAAAAGAUCAUCUAUCCUCGGGAGUGGGUAACGGUUCUUCACUGUUAACUUGUUCAAAUCCCUAUAGUCAAUGAACAUCCUGUGCGAAUCGUCCUUCUUCCUAAAGAAGAGGAUCGGUGCUCCCCAAGGAGAACUACUUGGGCGAAUAAACUGCUUUCCCAGCAGCUCCUACAACUGAGAUGCCAACUCCUGCAUCUCUGGAGGUGCCAGACGAUAUGGCGCCUUAGCGAUAGGGCCGCACCCAGAACUAGAUCAAUCCUGAACUCUACCAGCCUCUCCGGAGGCACUCCAGGCAACUCUUCUGGAAACACGUCAACAAACUCUCUAACCACUGGGACCUCUGAAACUGAAGCAUGAUCUCGCGUAUCCACCACAUACACUAGAUAACCGGCACACCCGUGCUGAAUGGACUGUCAAGCCCUGGUGGCUGAACAAAACCCUGCUCCCACUCUGGUGCCCUCACCAUACACUACCAUUUCUCCCCCACUUGGGAUUCAAACUACCACUCGUUGCCCCUCACAGUCGAUCAUGACACCAAACCGAAUGAGCCAAUCCAUCCCUACAAUCACACAUACUUCCCCCAUGGGAAUAGGAAUCAAAUCUAUCGGGAAGGAUACCCCGAAAAUCCCCAACUUGCAUCCCCGGUAGACCGAAGAAGCAGAAACCCCUUGCUCGUUAGCGAUCGAAACUCGCAACGAACACUCAAGCUCAUCUAUCGACACAAUAAACUCUCUACUAAAAUUUUGAGAUACAAAACGACUGACUCGCCCCCGAGUCAAAUAAAACCAAAGCAGGCAAAGAGUUUACUAAAAACAUACCUAAACAUAGGUACAACUGAUAAGCAUAACACAGACACAGUAACUGAAACAGAAAAUAGAAGCAUACCAUCAACCACAUCCGGUGCUGCCUUGGCCUCCUCGGCCGUGAGCUGGAAGGCGUGUCCCUGAGCCUUUAGAGGCUCCACCUUGACUGGCCUCCCAUCCCUAAUCCUCAAAGUAGCAUGUACGGAUCCCUGCGCCGGCUUGGCGGCGAGCUGCGGACAGUUGGUCUUCACGUGACCAACCUGAUGACAAUGGUAACAAAUCCUCAUAUAUGUUGGAGGGGCAGACUGGCGACAGUCCCUGGCAUAAUGCCCCUCAUUUCCACAUUUUUGGCAACCACCUCCUGCUCGACAAACCCCAGAAUGACCCCUGCCACACUUUCCACAAGUACGGCUCUACUGACCCUUGGUCCGAGUAUCAACGGUCUUGGACCGCUUAGGUGCUGGCUGAGACUGUGCCGGAACCUGACGCUGCUCCUUCAACUGCAGCUCUAUCUCCAACUCACGCCACCUCGCGGCUUCCUGAAGAUCCAAACGAGUCUCACAACGUUGCGUAGCAACAAACUAUCGAAUAUCAGUCUUAAGCAUACUCAGAUAAUGAGUCAUCUGAGACUGCUCUGAAGCAAACACUGGCAAAACAUAGCCCUCUCCGUGAACAUACGAGUGAUCUCCAUCACUGAUUCCCCAUCCUGCCUCAAUGUCAAAAACUCCUGAGCAAGCCGCUCCCGCUCAACGCGUGGAACGUAGCGGGUGCGGAACAUAUCCCAGAACUGCUCCCAAGUAACAGCAACCCGCUGAUCAUCAGUGUACAACCCUGUCGUCAACCUCCACCAGUCCUUUGCCCCAAGCCUCAGUAGGUUCAGGGCACACCUGACCUUUUGGUCAGCAGGACAUGAACACGUGAAGAAACAGCCCUCCACGUCAGAUAACCACCUCAUAGCCUUGAUCACAUCCUAUGUACCAUCAAACGUCGGGGGCUUUAUGUUAUCGAAGUCCCGGUACUGGAAAGCCCUGCCUGCUCCUCCUCCAACCCCUGCCGCGGUUACAGCCGAAGUGGCUGCAGCGGCAGCUGUCUCUGCUAGAGCUGCAUACUGCUCGUCAAAGUACUCAACCAUCGUAGUCUUAAUCGACCCAAACAUCUCUGGCAGUUGCGCUCGGAACGCCGCAACAAUCUCGUCGUGCAGAAUCUCCCAGAUACUGGCAUCCAACUCCUUUGUCCCUAUCUGUACCACAGGCUCAGGUGCGACCGACACCUCCGACACUCCGUCUCCCGAUCCUGCUCCUAAUCCUGAUCCGGAUCCAGUAGCAAAAUGUCUCGUCACCACCAUACUGAAAAAUAUAACCAAGACGUCAGAUAAACGACAUAAUAUUGGGAGACCAUUUCGCACAACCCUAGGAGUUUUAACUUCCUUGCUACGCGUAUGGGUCCCGUGCUUUCAGUAGUACGGGCCCAUACUACCUUCCACACCUACCCAUAUUUGUCUCAAGUAUCACCACAACGCCCUAACACUAUCAUCAACAUAAUAUGUGCUCAACCCUCCCUCCUAGGGGAAUAUCGACUAUCUCGCAUCUGUCCUCACAACUUCUCACACUCACACAUCCAUGAAACUUUCACCAAUCCUGCAGCACUAGUGUAUGCUAGCCACACAGAACGCUGGACCCGAUAGACUUUUGAAUAUCCAAUCCUACACUAAGGUCGAAUCAGACAUUCUCAGGCUAUAAGAUCUUGAUUACAUACAGCCGUGAUGCAUACACUAAACAUCCACAGUUAUGAUGUUAAUUCCAUAUACAAGAACCCUAGGCUAGUAGGCAUCAUAUAAUCAGGCAAAUCUUAUCCUGCGAUUCCUGAAGAUUCCUAGCGUAGCACUAGCAUGAUGUUCUAUCAUAUCAUAAUAUCAAAUAAAUGUAUGGUAUUUUGGGGCUUACUUAUAGGCUCCGGUUGAUCGUACCCUUUGCAUCCUCCAUCCUUUAUUUUGAAAACCAUUUUAGUAUUUAUUCCAAAAAUUCCCUUGAUUUGAGACUGGAUUCACAUGAGUGUUCCUCCAAUUCACUCAAACCAAGGCUUUGAUACCAACUUGUAACUUCCAAAAAAUUUUAACCAAAUUUAAACUUUUUUCAACCAUAAAAUCAAAUAGUGUUUUACAAAUGUUUUCAAAAUAAUAUUCAUCAGAGUGUCCCAAUAACAAAAUCAUAAGGCUGUGGAGCGGUACGGUCAUGCCUUUGCCUUGCCAUGAUCUCCUGAAGUACCUGAAACAGUAAACUGAAACUGUAAGCCUAAGGGCUUAGUGAGCUACCCCCAAAAUACCAAUACCACACCGAUAAUACCGUAUCAAUAACAGAUAAUAAAAAACAUGCAUAUUGGGCCUUCGUCCUGACUGGACCGCCCUACAGGGCCUACAGUCUAUCUGGAUCUAUCCUGAGCCUUCGACAUGACUGGUCCGCCACGUGGGCCUACAGUCUCCCCGGACCGCUCAUAUGGUAUGUUGGCCUUCAGCACAAAGCAAGACUGCCUCAACCCAACCAACAAGCAAAUAACCAUGUGCACAUAACUAUCAUAUACUGGCAUAUACAAACAUCAAACAUAUCUAUCUCACUAAUCAUCAAUCAUAGAAUUCUCUCGUAACUAGAGCACCGACCUAACAGGUCACUAACGUACCAAUCCCUACGGAUCAUAAGAGCAUAACAUACUGUCUACCCUGAUUCCGAUCUAACAGAUCAAAACCACAUGUACCAUACCAUACAAUAACAACUAAAGGGUCGGCCUUGGUGCCGUAGACCCUAUCGAUAUAGUCAGGAUAACUCACCUUGCAGAUGUCGACUCGAUAGGUGAACUCCAACUCUCAUAUCGCUGUCAACAACUCCACCACUUAUUUCUAUAAUAUAAUCGUACUCAUAAGUUCCCAACCUUUCAAGGUACCCCAUAAGCCGACUAGUCAACCCCUGGUCAAAGUCAAAGUCAACAGUCAAGGUCAACAGUCCAUGAUGAUCCUAACUCGUCGAGUACCCUCGGCUACUCACCGAGUUCCUUGAGAUACUUGACCACUCGCCGAGUCACCGGGGUGACUCGUCAAGUUCAUAAGGUUUGCGAUCAAAGCUCUAAGGCCACUCGUCGAGUUUUCCUUCUUGCAACUCGACAAGUUCACGCGCAUUCAUCAAUUGGGAAACCUUAACUGACUUGCUGAGUUGUUCAUCCAACUCGCUCGAGUCUACGGCAAUCUUCAUCGGACUCGUCGAUUUGUUCAUCCAACUCGUCGAGUUCAAUGCAAAUCUUCAUAUGACUCGCCGAGUCGACUAUGCGACUCGCCUAGUCCCUUCAGUCAUUUCACCAUGUAGACACUUUUUAAGCCAUGGAAAGACCCCAAAUUGCAGAUCCAACUUCCUUAGGCAUACUUAUCACGUAAAGUUGCAAACUUUACGUGCAUGCAAGGCUCUAAUGACUCAAAGUGCCAAAACUAAGCUUGAAAUGGGGUUUUACAAUUAGAGAGGGGUUCAUACUUUCCAAGACUGAAAGCUUUAUGGUCUUACAAUUCACAGAGAGUUCAGAUCUGAAGUUACAACUUCAGAUAUGAGCUUAUACCCCAGAAAUAGCUCCAUGACCAAACUAAGAAACCCUAAACUCCAUCCAAGGAGGUCUAGAACGAAAUGGGAUUAAGAUAACAGCUUAAUACCUUCCCAAAAGAUGCCAACUAAAGUAGAUCUUGAUUUCCCCUGAGUUCCUUUCUUCAAUCUACUUGUUUCCCCAAGCUCUUCUCACCAAGAAUCAUCUUCCAAAGCUUCAAACACAUAAUGGGCACACACAUACGUAUUAGGUUUUUGCUCAACUUUCAAGGGACUGUAAGGAGGCUAAAAGAGGCUUGUGCUUCUUUAAAUAGGUUGCAAAACCACGGGAUUUAGGGUUUCAUCUGCCAGCUCCUACUCGUCGAGUUCCCUUAUGGACUCGGCGAGUAGGCCACUAAACACGCGGCUCCACCCCGCUGCUACUCGACGAGUAGGGCAACCAACUCGUCGAUUAGAUCUUAAAACCAAGUAAACUUUCAUUCAUUUUAAUGCCUGCGAAUCGGGACAUUACAGAAGGCAUUCCCCUAAACGGAAGCCAUUAUUUACUUCCAUAUAUAUUAUCAACAAAAAUCAUAUAAAUCAUCAAAUUGUUAUUCAUUUCUCCGAAAGGCUAGCUAGCUCCUUAUGUGGUUCUAGAUUAGAAUCAUUAUGUAACAAACAUAGUUAUACGUAUUUACCAACACUUACAUGUAGCUUCUCUUUAUGCCCUACACUUUGAAGGUUAGAACUGACUAGCUUCCCUUUAUGUUUCAUACAUAUUAGUGGGAUUCAUAGUGAGUGUUUAUGUUUGGCACAUUGGAGGAAAAGAGUGACUAGGUCCCCCUUCUAUUUGGUACAUUAAAGGAACAUAAUAAUGGAGUCCCCCUCUUAUUUGGUACGCUAGAGAAACAUAUUGUUAUUUGGUACACUAGAGAAAAUAUACUGAUUAGCCACUACAUUUGCAUCAUAAAGGACAAGCUUUUUUAUAACAGUGCUUUCAUUUGUAAAAUUAAGAGAGUCAGUAUAUUAUCCAAUUGAUUGUUUUCGGCACCAAACCCAUUUCUAAAUGACUUGUUUCCACCAGAGUGAUUAACCGAAAUAUCAUCACCAUAACCAGUCCCACUAGUUGAUCUUUUUGUAAUAAAUAUUUUGGAGCAUUAGUAAUAACUAAAUAAAAUGGUGUCACUAUAAAAAAAAUAAAAGUAAAUAAAAAUAAGCAACCCCCACAAAGGUGUCUCACGUUGUUAUCCUUAGUUAUCUCAAUUACAAAAUGCAUUCUAGGAGGUUGGUUAUAUAAUCUUAUAUGUGUUUUGUUACAUGAAGUUUUCUAAGAACAACUCAAAUCAAAUCAACAUAAUUUAUAUUUGCGGGCAAAUCUAUACUACACUCGGUCCAUUCUAAUGUUAGAUAUUACAUAACGUAAUAUAACAUAAUUUAUUGUUUGCCAUGUAUCUUUGAUAUGUUCAGCACCUCUAAAAAUGUGGUAUGAAGGAUCCAUUAUCUGGUUUUUUGAGUUUUCAAAGAUUGUGUUUUCUAAAUGGUAAGAAUGUUUUCAAAAUUUUGAAGUAUAUAUAUCUACUUCGAAAACAUCUGGUCGCCUUAAAACCAUUGUAAAAAUUUACAACAAUUCGAAAUAUCCGAACAACUUUAUGUAAGUAAAGUAGUUCAAAAAUCAGUAAAAGUAAUGCAAAAGUCAUUUUCUUUUUUAAAUAUAAGUAAAAAAAGUUGUACAUCAAUAAAAAAAAUUAUUUUCUAAAUUUCAUAUUUGAAAAAUGUGGUUAUUUUGUAGUUUUCGAAUAUGAAAUGACAUAAUAUUUCUUUUUUGGUGUGAUGGUGAUUGAGCGUGAUGGUCAUUAAGGUCAAUACCUCAAUAUGAAAAACAAAAUAAUCAUUUAUAUCAUCUUAUGGCUAAUUCUGAAACAAAAUAAACUAACUUUAUACUGAAAAUAUAUUUUUUAAAGAUGGUAUCCACAAACUUCAACAUAAUUUAGGUACGGCAUGUAUAAUUUAGCCUAGAUUGAUGUUGAUGUGGAAGUCGAAGCUACGUAGACUCUCAACGUGGAUAAAAUAUAUCAACUCAACAUGAGUAGGUGUCACAUUAGUUUUUCUCUCUUCUCUCACUUCAUCUAUGUGAAUCACAACACAUAGAAAUUCAUCUCCCCAACCCUCCCACUCCAUACUUUUUGAUAUAAAUUUUUAUGUAUACGUUACAUGAUGGUAUAGCAUGAGAGAAGAGAAAACGAGAGAGAUUAGAGAAUUGAGUAGCCCGCCCGACGUUGGUCUAGCUGAACCCACUAGGGCGUGGGAUCAUGGCAUCACCAGUAAUAUCAAUAUCGACCUGAACGUAUCGGAAAAAAGUCAAGAAUCUAUGAGCCUUAAGUUGCUCGAAAAGUUUUAACGUUUUAGUAUAGAAAAAUCUCAUAAUUGGUUAUCUCAAAUGACUUUAAUCCAAAAUAACUCAUACUUCUCGUUUUAUUAUUUUGCUCUAUAUAAAAAAUUUUCUUUUUAUUUUAAUUACAAAAAGAUUAUUUUAUGUUUAAGUUCACAUAUUUAUGUUUUGAAAAAUAUCGGGUUUUUUAGAGUUUUUAAUUUUUAGUUUUUAAAAAAAAUAUCUCUAAAAAAAUUGUUUGGGAACAAAGCUCUUUGCUUUUAUUUUGAACAAAAGUUUUUGAAUCAAAAAGCUAUUUUAGAGCUUUUAGCUUUUCAGAGCUUUUUGUUUUUUGUUUUUAAUUGAUUUUACACCUCUAAAAAUUAAUCAUUUCUGUCAAACAUUUUUACAUAAAUGAAAAUUACAGUUUAAUUUUUGGUUGCAAACGAGUAUUAGAGAACACGCCCUAUAGAAGUAUCUUUGUCUUUUUAGACAUUUUCAAAUUUUCAUUGGAACUGAUUGUAGAUAAACUUGAUUAUAUAGUCGUAUUUCUUUUUUUUAUUUUUAACAAUUUAAGAACUUAUUUUUUAGCAAUGGAAUCUUAGCAAAGAACAACACUAAACUACAAUGGAGAAAUAGCAGGAAAACAAACUUUAAAAAUUUAGCAAUUUAAAUGAUAUUCUACAUUAGUGUGAUGAGAAUCGUGAUACAAACAAACAUCAAAAAAUCUAAUAUUCGAGAAAAGUAAUUAAUUAAUUUCUUAAAUAACAAACUCAAAUCUAUAUAGGAAGAGUAAAGUCAAGGUUUUGAAAACCGGACCGGAGACCGAACCGGUCGUCUUACCGGUUCGAUGGUUCAGGUGGUUCAACCGGUCGGACCGGUCUCAAAAACCGGAAAAACCGGAUGAUGUCAUAAUUAUAUUUAAUUAUAUAAAAAAUACAAAAAAUGAAAAAAAAUAAAUAUUUUUUAAAAUUUUCGGUUUUGACCGGUUUUACCGGUUCAACCGGACCGGUUUUUACCGGUUCGACCGGUUUUUACCGGUUUUCACUGGUUCACAUGAAUACCGGUUUUUUAGCAUUAAAGAACCGGAUCCACGACCGGUUCCCGGUUGAACCGGUCGAACCGGCCGGUCCGGUCCGGUUUUCAAAACAUGGAGUAAAGUUAAACCCAGGACAGAUGUUGUGGUUGUACUCUAUGCAUUAGCGAUGAAUAGAAUAAUUUCAACAUUGACAACAGAAGAUUCCAAUGACCUCACGUAUGAAUAUCUUGGGGACAAAGUAACACCCUCGGUUCAAGUGCUUGACUUAUUAUAUUUUGUCUUUUUCUAAUUUUUUUUCUUUUUAUCCAAGUAAAUCGUGGGCCCUUAAUAACUUCUUUAAAUCUUAAGACUAUUGAAAGGACCAGAUUCUUUAAGUAUAUUAAUGUUGUAAGUUCUAAGAACUACAUAAUAUUAUAUAACCAUAAAUUAGUUGGAAGCAACUUGGUAUACGAAAGUCAGAAUUAUAUUACGAUGUAAAAUGAAAUGAACCAUACAAAUUAAAUAUAGGGGAAGGAUUACGAUGAGACGUAAAACUUGAGCACAUUGUAAUAGGAUUGACCAAUGAUAGAGAUUUUUAUAUUUGGCCUUAAAACUUUAAAAGCUAAUUUUAAAGAAGUCAUAUGAUUAAAAUACUCACAAUAUGUUUUUUUAGUUUUCGAAAAAACAAAGAAAGAGUUAAAGCUGUUUUUUCUUUCCAUAUGGACAGAAUUUUAAAACCCAUGUUUGAUAUAGUAUUGUUUACAUAGGUUUCAAACUUCAGAUUAUUGAAAGAUAAUUUUACCAAAAAGACAAUUUGAACGUAUUUUACAAGCGUGAAUUUGUUGUUGUUUUUUUUUCCCUAAUUAAGAUUAUUAAUUUCUUAAAAUAUAUAACUAUAGAAUGGAACUAAAUCUUUCUAGGAAAGUAGGAAAAAUGAACCAAGAAGUAGGGCAUAGAACAAUGGAUCAAUUCAUUCAACAAGAUUCGUUCAGAUCAUACCAUGAUUAAUAGUGUUGAAAUACAAAAUGACGUUGAAACUUGAAAGUAUCAUAACUAUUUGACCGAAAUUCAUUAGAUAUAUAAAAUGAUGUUGAAACUUGAAAGUAUCAUGUAAAAGGAUUGCUAAAAUUAGAUUUAGAUCGUCUUUCAUGUAUUUUUUUUAACCCGAUCAUGCCAUAGUGGGCCUCGCCCUGAGGUUUAUUUCAACCCGAACAUGCUAUAGUGGGCCCCGCCCUAGGUUUAUUUCAACUCGAUGUAACAUUCAAAUAACAACUAGCAUUCUACAUAACAGCAUAAUGGGUCGGCAUUGACGCCUUCAACCCAUAGAUACAGUGAGGAGACUCACCUCACGGACAGACGAAAUAGGUGAAUAGGACAUUGCUCUGAAUAUCAACUCUACCGCACACCUAUUCAAUGAUAAAUGACCAAACUCAACUAUAAUUCAAAAUACCCAAAAUACUUCUAGGUCAAAUAUGGUCAAAUCGAAAGUCAAAAAGUCAGCCAAGUUGAUUCAGCUGAGUACGCCCAGCGUACUCAGCUUGUACGCUUAACGUACACAAUGCUAGACCAAAAUCGGGGAGUUGACCGCGUACGAGCAGCGUACUCUAAUGUACGUCGAUUGUAUGCACUAACCACCUUAUCCUUCUAUUAAGAGCUUAAACCCUUAAGAUUUCUUGUCCAAACCCAGAUCCAUACCUCAAAUGAUGUCCUUAAUCGUAAAGUUUCCAACUUUAUGAUCAUACAUGGCUAUUAAGUGCUCAAUAUCAAAAACCCUAGCUUCUUAACUCAUUAAAACAUCCUAGUUCAUCCAUAGAGGAAAACUAAGGACCAAGAUUACAUUUUUAUGAAUCUAAACAUUCCAAAACAUCUGAAAGGAAUCUCAAAUACAUCAAGCUUAUGGGACCAAAAUGAACACAAUCCAUGGCUAAUCAAGAUCUAAGUAAAACUUCAUCAAGAUCAAAGAUUUUUACCUCCAAGUGGUGCAAAAUGAUGAUGUGUUUCUAGAUCCAAAGUGCUUCACUCUUCUAAGAUGGUCUCCUCUUCCUUCUUCCUACUUCAAGAUCACCAAAAUACACACUUAAGGCUCAAAUAUGCUCUAAAAAUGGAUUAGGGCUUGCAAGGGUUGAUAUGAGGGGUGGAGGCUGAUGAGAGAACGGGUUUUAGGUCUAUAAGGGUGUUUAAAUAGUGCACAAACCCUAAAUAUUAGGGUUUUUGUCCAAGCCACAUACGCCCAACUUACGAGGAGUACGCCCAACGUACGUGAUGAAACACGUUUCAUCCAAAAAAAACUACAUGGGACUAAUUGCAAAAAAAUUACAUACCAAGAGCAUAAACGAAAAUACCUGAAAAGCAAGAUGUUAUAAUUAUCCCCCACUUGAACUAGACAUUAUCCUCAAAGUUCGUUGCCACAAAUAAAUCAGGGUAGUGCUCUCGCAUAUUUGCCUCGGGCUCCUAAGUCCAUUCGGAACCCUUCUGAUGCUACCACUGGACCUUGACUUAAGGUACCACCUUGUUGUGCAAAGCCUUCAUCUUCUUAUCCAAGAUCGCCACUAGUCUCUCAACAUGAUUCAGGCGAUCAUCAACCUGAAUAUGAUCCAAAGGGACAACCGUGGAAUCAUCAGCCACACACUACCGAAGCUGAGAAACAUGGAAGGUGUUUGUGGAUUUGACUAAGCUCAUUAGGCAAAUCCAACCGGUAUGCAACAUUACCCACCUUUGUGAUAAUCCUGAAGGGACCAAUAAAUCGAGGGCCUAUCUUGCCCUACUUCCGAAAUCGGAUGACACCUUUCCAAGGUGACACCUUAAUAAGCACUAAGUCCUCGACCUGAAACUCGAGGUCUGAAUGUCGCCGGUCUGCAUAAAUCUUUUAUCGGAUUUGUGCUACCCGCAACCUAUCGUGCACCUGCUGAAUCAACUCAGUAGUCUUCAGUAUUACUUCAGUAAUCCCUACAACCUGAUGCCCGACCUCGCGCUAGUAAAUUGGGUCCUACACCUUCUCCCAUACAACAUAUCAAAAGGCGGUUGGUCAAUACUAGCAUGAUAACUGUUAUUGUAAGAGAACUCAACCAGUGGAAGGUAAGUAUCCCAACUCCCUCCAAAAUCUAACAUGCAUGCCCGGAGCAUAUCUUCGAGUGUCUGAAUCAUACACAUACUCUACCCAUCGGUUUGUGGUGGUAAGUUAUGCUUAAGUGUGGCUGGGUACCCAAAUCCUCAUGAAACUUCCCCCAAAACCUGGAGGUGAAACGAAUAUCUCGGUCUGAAACCACUAAAACUGGCACCCCAUGUCAGACCACCAUCUCCCGAACGUAAAUGUCGGCCAACUUAUCAGCUGAUAUACUCUUAGAAAUUGGUAUGAAGUGUGCGCUCUUGGUCAAUCUAUCCACAAUGACCUAGAUAGAAGCAACUCCAUGCGUCGUCCUUGGCAUCUUCAUGAUAAAAUCCAUGGUGAUCUCUUCCCACUUCCACACGAGAAUGGGUAAUGGCUACAUCUUUUCAUGUGGUCUCUAUUGUUCGGCCUUGACUUUCCUGCAAGUCAGACACCUCUCUAUAAACCAUGCUGUCUCCCUCUUCAUACAGGGCCACCAAUAACUCAAAUUCAGAUCCCGAUACAUCUUCGUGACCCCUGCAUGGAUCAAAAACUUUGACUUAUGAGCCUCUUCUAGAGAUGUCUGUCUCUCCCCACCAUUAGUCAGAACCCAAACUCUACUACAUUGAGUCUUCAAUGCCCGAUUGUCUCUGACAAAUAAAAGAAUCUGCCCCUGAUUCACUCCGCCUUCUAAUUCUCCUUUUUUAAUCCCUUUAACUGAGCCUUCUUGAUUAAAUUCAACAAAUGAUAAAUGAUAACCAUCCUUAUACAUACACCACCAAUAGGUGUGCUCACUGCCUUGCGGCUCAAGGCAUCGACCACCACAUUGGCAUUCCCAGGGUGGUACAGAAUUUCGCAAUCAUAAUCCUUUACCACAUCCAACCAUCUCCGUUGCCGCAUAUUCAAAUCCGGUUGAUCCAUCAAGUACCUCAAACUUUGAUAGUCAGUGUAGAUAGUACACCUAACCCCAUAUAGAUAACGCCUCUAGAUCAUGAAGGGAAAAAACCACAACCCUCAACUCUAAAUCAUGCAUAGGGUAAUUCGGCUCAUGAGGCUUCAGCUACCUCGAAACAUAAGCAACCACAUGACCCCUCUGUUGGGUUUUGAGCAUUCUAACACUCCUAAGUGUACAUGCAACCCUAAAUACCUUGGAUUUAUGUUUUCUCUAUUAUACAUGCAAUUAUGAACAUCCAAGGUAUUAUCCUAAUCUAGCAUACAAAACAAUGAAUAUAACAAGAUAGAAUACAUAACUUUUUGAUGUACAAUGUCUUCAUGAAGCUUGAGUGCCUAGUGCCUCAAGUGUGACACCUCAAAUGGUUCACACAACACCAAAUACACUUGGAAUAACUUGAGAGAAAUCUACACUUCAUGAAAUCGGCUAGCCCUUCUUUUACACUCACUAGUGCCGAUUUUGGUCAAGAAUAAGAUGCAUAUAUAGUUAGGGUUACACCAUGUAAACCCAAAUUAACAUGGCCUUUCAUUUCCAUGAUCCAUGGAUACAAAAACACCAUGGAGCAUCCACAGAGCAUCAUAUGGGUUUUAGCCCAACUAGAUAAUCCAUGGAGCAUUAGCCCACUAUAUAAGUAUGGAUGAUUUACACAAUCAACCCAUAUAUUUAAUUAGUCUUCUUUUGAUCACUUAAUUAAUCCUAGAUUAAUUCUUGAUCAAUACUAAUUAAAUAAUCUUAUUAUUCUUAUUAUUAAUAUACUAGAACUUAUAAUAUAUUAAUAACCAUAAGUGUCUUAUUUCUCUCAUUAUAGUCUAUCCAAGUGCAUGAUGGUAUGCAACCCAAAUGGACCAUGCCGGGUCGGGUCAAGUCUUACCAAUUAUAGUUAUGGACUUAGACAUUAAUCCAACAGUCUCCCACUUGGAUAAGUCUAAAACUAUUAUUGCGUAUGACUUCAGGAACCAACUGGCAAUCGUAGCUCUCAAAAGCUUCUGUCGAACUCUGACCUUGUAGAUGAACUCUGACCUUUGUCAAUGACUUGUCCAUUAGAUAAGGGAUCAUAUAUUCCUCCAUUCUAGAUAUCAUAUGGACUGAGACAUGGAUUAUAAUCAUUCUCUCUGUCCAUUUGUUGUUUCCCGAUUUCCGAUUUAUGACGACUGACUAAUUGAACAAAUCAAAUCAGUCCUGGCCCGGCCGAGCACUUCCAUUUGUCAUCAUCAAAUCAUCGAGGGGCCCACAGAUAUCGCUUUUAUCCCGAAGGUAAAAGGAAUGGAUAAACUUCGACUCAUAUGGCUUGUUCUACUACUUGUUGAAUCAUACACAAAGGCACGUUUUAUAGCACCGAGUUACCAAAUGCGUUUUCGUGCAAUCAAUGUACUAUCAACUCAUAGUAACAACUCAUAUCUCUAGGUUUGAAGAAUAUAAGAUAUUAUCGUCUCAUGAUCACUCGUGAUAAAAUCCAUGAAGUGAUUCCAAUGAGCGCGGGUUGAAUCCAAUACUCAGAACUUAUGAGCACUCAUGAGUGUUGUAGCCCUUUGUCCAACACCUUAGACCUCUACAAGCCAACCCAUGACAGUCUUAAUUCAUAUCUACUUCCAACAUAUGACCGACUGUGGAUGGUUUGAAUAACUUAGUCAUUCCGGAAGAAUAACCCAGUUUAUUCGGGAAGUCAAAACAUGCAAAGUGAAACACAAUAAUAAUUGAAUCCAAUAUGGUAUCAACCCUUUGAACAUAAAUAAAACACCUUUUAUUUAUCACCAUAUGAUUACACAUUAUUCAUUGUAUACUGUUUCAGCUAUCAACUUUAUUCUUGAAUUUAAAACAAUAGUUGUCCCAUGCUCCAAGCAUGUACACUAUGUUUUCUAAACACUAGUCAUGCCACACACCAAGUAUGCAUACUAUGUUUGUCUAUGAUCUUUACUUUGUGAACUAGAUCAAUUGAACAUAACUUCAAUGAUUCUCUUUUCACACUCCCAAAUCCUUACUGCAAAUGCAAGAAUUCCAAAUUCAUGCCAUUUACUGAAAUCUGUUAGAUUCUAAACUUAUAUGCAUUGAUCCUCUUGUAACGAUUAUGCACAAAGUCACAAAGACUUGGCAACAAUCAUUACAGAGUAUUCCAAAGGAGAUCAACUCCUUGGAAAUAUCCUUCUUGCAUUAAGUUUCCUUAAUCUUACACAGAUUGAAAAUUCUAACUUUGAAACAUUUCCAGAUUCCAUUUUGACUAUCACUUCUGAACAAGAUUUGCCUCCUUACAGAUUAUGUCAAUAUGGUCCUUCCAGAAUUAUCACUAUACUUCCAACUGUCCUUGAGCAACCAAUCUUUGGUAAACCGUAGAUUGUCCUCGACAAUUGUUUAAUCAUUUUAGUCAUAUCCAGUUCUAAACCUUUUCCCUUCUAAAUGCCCCAGGCAUUUGGAAAAUUUUAGAACGGAUGAAUAUAGCACAUGUAAUCGAUCCUAUAUCCGAAGCAUAUGGGACACGAUUCAUGAUGUCUCACAUAAAGACUAAACCAGUCUUUUGCUAUAACAUUUCCAUUUCUAUUUGCCAAGUUCUCAUAAUUCAGAUUAUGAAAAGGGAUGUCGUAAUCAUAAUCGAAUUUUAGAACGCAAAUAAUGGACCCAUAUACAAAAUUUCCUUAUGUUGAGCCAUUCCAACAUGAAAUUCAUAUAUAUCCUUGACUAAAUGAUUAAAACCUCACGAUCUAAGCUUAUAGAUUUGAGAUGAAGUAUAAUUUCCUCUCCCUUAAUUAUAGCAAAACAACUUUUUCCCAAUUGAAACUUUUGUUUUCUAUAAUUAACAUUGCUAACUUGCAACCUGUGUCAUGAUUAUCAUGCACUCACUAACAUGAUGAUUAUUAGUAUAACACUUAUGCUCCCACUAGCUUUCACAUGUACUCAGAAACCAGUUGACUUUCUUACCAAAGUUUAGAUUUCUGUUACUAGAUUGUUUUG
rnacentral:lncRNA from 1 species